GAUGAACGCUAGCUACAGGCUUAACACAUGCAAGUCGAGGGGAAACGACAGGGAGUGCUUGCACACUCUGGGCGUCGACCGGCGCACGGGUGAGUAACGCGUAUCCAACCUGCCCACCACUUGGGAAUAACCUUGCGAAAGUAAGACUAAUGCCCAAUGAUAUUGAGUGCAGACAUCUAAUCUCAAUUAAAGAUUUAUCGGUGAUGGAUGGGGAUGCGUCCGAUUAGCUUGUUGGCGGGGUAACGGCCCACCAAGGCAACGAUCGGUAGGGGUUCUGAGAGGAAGGUCCCCCCACAUUGGAACUGAGACACGGUCCAAAACUCCUACGGGAGGCAGCAGUGAGGAAUAUUGGUCAAUGGGGCGAGAGCCUGAACCAGCCAAGUAGCGUGCAGGAUGACGGCCCUAUGGGUUGUAAACUGCUUUUUAUAAGGGAAUAAAGUGGGGCUCGUGAGCUCUUUUGCAUGUACCUUAUGAAUAAGGACCGGCUAAUUCCGUGCCAGCAG
rnacentral:rRNA from 1 species